AUUGAACGCUGGCGGCAGGCCUAACACAUGCAAGUCGAACGAGUGGCGGACGGGUGAGUAAUGUCUGGGAACCUGCCUGAUGGAGGGGGAUAACUACUGGAAACGGUCGCUAAUACCGCAUACCAUCAGAUGUGCCCAGAUGGGAUUAGCUAGUUGGUGGGGUAACGGCUCACCAAGGCGACGAUCCCUAACUGGUCUGAGAGGAUGACCAGCCACAAUGGAACUGAGACACGUCCCAGACUCCUACGGGAGGCAGCAGUGGGGAAUAUUGCACAAUGGGCGCAAGCCUGAGACAGCCAUGACGCGUGUAUGAAGAAGGCCUUGGGGUUGUAAAGUACUUUCAGCGGGGAGGCGUUACCCGCAGAAGAAGCACCGGCUAACUCCGUGCCAGGAGCCGCGGGAAUAC
rnacentral:rRNA from 1 species